rnacentral:rRNA from 1 species
UCAGGAUGAACGCUGGCGGCGUGCUUAACACAUGCAAGUCGAACGAAGCACCUCUAAUCGAAGAUUGAGAAAGCUUGCUUUGAUUGAUUCACCGUGAGGUGACUGAGUGGCGGACGGGUGAGUAACGCGUGGGUAACCUACCCUAUACAGGGGGAUAACAGUUGGAAACGACUGCUAAUACCGCAUAAGCGCACAGGACCGCAUGGUCUAGUGUGAAAAAACUCCGGUGGUAUAGGAUGGACCCGCGUCUGAUUAGCUAGUUGGUGAGGUAACGGCUCACCAAGGCGACGAUCAGUAGCCGACCUGAGAGGGUGACCGGCCACAUUGGGACUGGGACACGGCCCAAACUCCUACGGGAGGCAGCAGUGGGGAAUAUUGCACAAUGGGCGAAAGCCUGAUUGCAGCGACGCCGCGUGAACGAAGAAGUAUUUCGGUAUGUAAAGUUCUAUCAGCAGGGAAGAAAAAUGACGGUACCUGACUAAGAAGCUCCGGCUAAAUACGUGCCAGCCGCUGC